rnacentral:rRNA from 1 species
AGUUUGAUCCUGGCUCAGGAUGAACGCUGGCGGCGUGCCUAAUACAUGCAAGUCGAGCGAACGGACGAGAAGCUUGCUUCUCUGAUGUUAGCGGCGGACGGGGGAGUAACACGUGGAUAACCUACCUAUAAGACUGGGAUAACUUCGGGAAACCGGAGCUAAUACCGGAUAAUAUUUUGAACCGCAUGGUUCAAAAGUGAAAGAC